GACGAACGCUGGCGGCGUGCUUAACACAUGCAAGUCGAACGGAGUUACGUAUGAAGUAUUUCGGUACGGACUAUGUAACUUAGUGGCGAACGGGUGAGUAACACGUGGGCAACCUGCCCUUAACCGGGGGAUAACAUUGUGAAAACAGUGCUAAUACCGCAUAACAGAGUAUCGGGCAUCCGAUAUUUUAAAAGGAGCAAUCCGGUUUUGGAUGGGCCCGCGUCCAAUUAGCUAGUUGGUGAGGUAACGGCUCACCAAGGCUACGAUUGGUAGCCGAACUGAGAGGUUGAUCGGCCACAUUGGGACUGAGACACGGCCCAGACUCCUACGGGAGGCAGCAGUGAGGAAUCUUGGUCAAUGGACGGAAGUCUGAACCAGCCAUGUCGCGUGAAGGAGGACGGCCCUAAGGGUUGUAAACUUCUUUUGCAGCGGAAUAAAGUAUUCCACGAGAUGGGAUAUUGCAAGUACGCUGCGAAUAAGGAUCGGCUAACUCCGUGCCAGCAGCCGCGGU
rnacentral:rRNA from 1 species